AGUGAACGCUGGCGGCGUGCCUAACACAUGCAAGUCGUGCGCGAAAGGGAGCAAUCCUGAGUAAAGCGGCGAACGGUGAGUAACACGUGGUUAACCUGCCUGGAUGUGGGGGAUACCCCGGGGAAACUCGGGACAAUACCGCAUGAUGUCUCUCGGGCGUCGGCCCGGGAGAGCAAAGCCGGGGACCGCAAGGCCUGGCGCAUCCGGAGGGACCGCGGCCGAUUAGCUAGUUGGCGGGGUAAUGGCCCACCAAGGCGACGAUCGGUAGCCGGCCUGAGAGGGUGAUCGGCCACACCGGAACUGAGACACGGUCCGGACUCCUACGGAGGCAGCAGUGGGGAAUUUUGCGCAAUGGGC
rnacentral:rRNA from 1 species